AGAAAAAGAAAAAGAAAUAAAAAUAAAGGUUGUAGCUGUCCCCAUGUCCCGCCUGUUCUGGUUAUUCACUUCGUCACGUUACUGUGUGUGAGAAGAAGCUGACUGGAAAGAGCGAAAAGCGCAGAAAGAACGAACGAACGAACGAAAGCUAAAAAGUGUGUUUGAUUGAUAGAGAUACUGAUACACGGCUUCAACGUUUCCGCGUCGAUCUCUCUCAGAUUCUUGGGUCUUCGCCAUGGCGGAGCGUGGUUCUUACGGAUUGGGACCUCGAUUAGCUGCUUUUCAGUAUGACCAACUUGUAAAAGCUUCAAGCUCAAACUACUGGCCACUUUCUUCUUAACAGUUCUCAUCCCAAGAGAAAGCUAGAGAGCUCAUAAAGAGAGAAACUUAUGAGAAUCAAAUAGAAGUACCACCCAGUAAAAUGAUUGGUGCAAUUUAUUCUUUUUCAUAUUACAUAAAUUGCUUUAUUAGUUUUCGCCGUUUCCUGAAGGUGUGAAUCUUUCAAUUCAUUGCAUCCGAAUUUUCCUGUAAACCGAUUUCCUUUCAUCCGAGGACGAUCGCGCACCCAUAAAUCAAAGGUUAGCAGUAUACACACCGAGCUGACGUCAGGAGAGUCCGCUGUUCUACUUUGUGCCUGCGUGUAUCCAACAUCUAGUAUGGUCGGCUUGUUUUCCGGUUUUGUUGUGCCAGAUCAGCAUCUACAUGGAUUUUGGUAUUUGGCGAUGUACUAUAUAUUUGUUUCUGCUUUGAGGAAAAUUUGAAUCUCAAAAGUAUCGAGUUGGUCAUUACACCAAUGGAACUCAGCCCCAUGAGAGCCCCUGCAAUUGAUGGAGUCAGAAUAGUUCCAUUUAUGGGAAAUAACACUCCAGCUGCAAUUGGAAUUCCUACCUGUAUACAGAUAGAGGUUUAAAUACACCAUGAAGGUUGAAUAACAAUAUAGAACAAUAUUUUUCCAGAUAUUUCAAAAUCGCAAAUAACAGAAACAUUAAACCAACAAAAAGAAAGUAUCAGUCCUAAAUUCAAUUGAAUUUGGUACAUGAAACAGGUGGAGAUUAUCUGCGCUGAUACCGCAUGUUAAUAAAAUUCGGACACCGAUUGUAUUUGCA